rnacentral:misc_RNA from 1 species
AACGCACCUUGCGCUCCUUGGUAUCCCGAGGAGCAUGCCUAUUUGAGUGUCAUUAAAUUCUCAACCUCACCAGUUUUGUAACGAGACCGGUGAAGGCUUGGAUGUGGGGGUUUUGCAGGCUGCCUCAGUGCUGGUCUGCUCCCCUGAAAUGCAUUAGCGAGCUCAUAUUGAGCUUCCGUCUAUUGGUGUGAUAAUUAUCUACGCCGUGGAUUGGACUCAUGCUUGCUUCUAACCGUCCGCAAGGACAAUUUACUUGACCAAUUUGACCUCAAAUCAGGUAGGACUACCCGCUGAACUUAA